UAUCAAAUUAUCAAAAAACGUAAUAUUCAUUUAUUAUAGUAUUUGUUAAGUCAUGAUGGAUGGAAAAAUUUGGAUGAUGUAAAAUAUGUCAAAUACAGAAAAAAUAACUUUACUUUAGUAGAUGUAAUAAAACAACCUAUAUUAAAUUAAGAAUAUAAUAGACGAAUACACAUUACAAAAAUAUUUCUUAGGUGUUCUUACGUCAAUGUUUUAGUGACAAUUUUAUUUACUUUGGACAAUUUUCUUAAUCAUUGUAGAUUUAUUGGGAUUCAAGAAAAUCCUCAUGAAUAUGUAUACUAUUGUACCAAUGAACUUAUAUAUAUUAUACGAAGAAUAAUUUGGAUGACGAACCUUAUGCAAGGCGCAUUGGAUAGUAUUGAAAAAUAUCACGGAAGUGUGUGGGGAACAAACUUGUGUAACAAUUAUAUUUUAAAUACGGUAAUAACAAAUUUAAGAAAUGAUGUACCUUUAAAAAAAAUGUUGAUUUCCAAUAAUUACUCAACAAACAUUAUCGGCCAUUAAAGAGUUCUUUUUUAAAAGAAAUAAAGAACUAAAAAAAGACUUAAGUAAAUGCAAUCUAAAGUCUACAGAUUUGACAGUACUAUGGAAGAGUUAGAAUGAAGAAUUUAAUGAAAUAUUAUCUGUAGGAAAAAAACCAAAGCUCUACGAUUUUCUAAGCACAAAAAUUAACUAUAUAGCUCAACAAACUAUUCAAGAGAAGUACUUAAAUCUAGGUUUUAUCUACAAUGAGGAAACUCAAGAGACAACUGUACCAACUCUUCCAGUAAAUUUCGAACAUAAUAUGAAUAUUUGUGUGCAUUAUAUGUAUUAUUUAAAAUAAUAAUUAUUUAUUCGUUCCAUUUGUAAUUUUUUAGGACUGAGCCAAUAUUAAAACUGAUACUUAAUAUAUUGGUCAAUUAAAUAGAUUAAAUAUAUCAGUAUCAUUUAAAAUAAUCAUUCAAUUUAAUAAAAUGGUACAAUACUGUUUUAAGUUAUAUAUAAUGCUAGGUCGUAUAACUCAUUAUCGAUAUUCGAUAUUUGAAUUUCAUUGAACUAGUAGGGGAGACUUGGGGAAUUAUGGUCAGUGGAUAAUACCGGUCACUACAUUGUCUAAUAAGUCCAUGCAUCUAAAAUUAUGUUGACCAUAUGUAUAGAUUAAGAAUGAUAAAAAAAAUCUGAUUCUUAUUAGACCGAUAUCAUCAAUAAAUGUUUUCACGUUUAAAUGUGUGAAAAAAGUUUUCAGUGUUUAUUUAUCUAAAAAAAAUUGUUUAAGAAAUUUAAUUUAAGGUCAACAUGUUGGCAUUAUAAUAAAUGAAUCAGUGUGCUGAAUUAUUUAAAUGUUUAUUUGAGCGCACGGUAGUACACCGAACCAAGUUCUAACAAUACAGUUGCACUUUACAAGAAACAAUCACCCGAUUUUUCGAAACUACAUAUUUUGGUUUCUACUUAAGAUAUACUGUUGAAAAUUUAAAUAUAAAUAAAGAUCUAGUAGCAUAAAACGCUGUAAAAAUAUGAUCUCUUAAUGUUUAGUCAUUUUAAAAAUGGGAGCCUUUUAAAAUUCACACUUUUGUUACUCACACAUACAUAAAACACUUCCCAUAUAUGUAGAAACAUGAACUUUGAGACAAAGAAAUUUCGAAAAAUCCUAAAAGCGAUGCAUCAAUUGUAAGUCAACAUAUUGACUUCACAAUUAAUAAAUCAGAUGUAGAAGUUAAUCCUGAAGUUGAAGAUGGUUCACCUCAACUUUUAAUAAUCCCUGAUCAUUUGAAACAAAUUAACAUGUAUCUUUGAAUUUAGCACUACUUUACUAAGUU